AGGGUCAGAUGACAAAUGGUUAGUCGCUUCAUUUGGGAUGAAGAUAUAUAGCGUGUUCGAAUCACGUCUACCCUA
rnacentral:tRNA from 1 species